AUGCCUCGCACACACGGCGGCACAUUCCAAGGCGACCAUGGUGGUACGGGAGGUGAUGCUCGACGCGCUGCGCCGCUUGUUACGAUCUCGCUCGAUGAGGCGCACGGCGGCGCGAAGGUCGGCCCUGACCAGGAGCAGGUAGCUCAGCGCUUCCCUAACAUACAGGUAGGGGAAGCGGGUGGUGAGGAAGUUGACAAGACCGUCCAGCGACCUCCGCGCGAGGGUCAACCCAUGGGACCUGUGCCGGCAAAGCGGUAGCUCGAAGACGAAUCUGUCGCUUGUGUCGGUGAUGAUCUUGGAGAGGAUCCACUCCGGCGCCGGCCCCUCCUCGUCGGAUCCAGGCGUCGGUGA
rnacentral:rRNA from 1 species